rnacentral:lncRNA from 1 species
UUGUAGAUAGCAGAUUGAAGGUUCUUGCUUUUUGAUCCAAUUUGCCACUCUCUGCCUUUUGAUUGGAACAUUCAGUCCAUUGACAUUUAAAGUAAUUAUUGACAGAUAUAUAUUUAUUGCCAUUGUUUUCCAGUUGAUUGUAUUUUUCCUUUCUUCCUUUCCUUUUUUGGUUGAGUGAUUUACAUAUAUUUUAUGCUUGAGUAAUUUUCUUUUUAGUUUUCAUGAAUGUAAUGUUUGGUUUUGAUUUGUGUUUGCCCUGUUUUUUAAGUACGUUAACCCCUUCCUAUAUCUGCUUGCCUUAGGCUGAUAGUUAUAUAGGCUCAAACACAUUAUUAUUAAAAUAAAAAUAACCUAUGUUUUCUUACUUCCCUGCACCUCAUUCUAUGAUUUUGAAGUCUUUUUUCUAACAUCUUAAUGUUUGCCCUUUUGCUGAUCCUUUUGUAUAUCAUUGCUUUUAUAAUAGUUUAUUUUUUUUCCCCUCUUUUAGAUCUGUAUGGUGGUUUAUUUAAGUGAUUGCUUUCCAGUCGUGGUCUCCUCCAUCCUGUUUCUUUUUACUACUUUUUUAAUUUGGAGAAACCGUUUCAGUAUUUCUUUUAGAAUGGGUUUAGUAUUGCUGUACUCUUUUAGUUUUGUUUGUUGGAGAAAUUCUUUAUUUCCCUUUGCAUUUUAAAUGAUAUUCUUGCUAGAUAGAGUAUACUAGGUUGCAAAUUUUUUCCCUUCAGAACUUUAAAUACAUCUUGCCACUCCAUUCUGGGCUGUAAUGUUUCUGUAGAGAAAUCAGCAGAUAGCCUUAGGGAGUUCCCUUAUAAUUAAUGUUUUGCUUUUCUCUUGCUGCCUUAUGAUCCUCUCUUUAUCUUUAACUUUUGCCAUUUUUAUUAUAAUAUGUCUUGGUGUGUGCCCAUUUGGGUUCAACUUGUUUGGGCCCCUCUGUGCUUCCUGUACUUGAUAUCAGUUUCCUUUAGAUUUGGAAAGUUUUGGACACAAUUUCUUCUAAUAUAUUUCCAAUCUCCUUUUUUUUUGUUCUUCUCAGGAAUUCCUAUUACAUAUUGAUUGGUCCACUUUAUAUUAUCCUAUAGAUCUCUUAUAUUGCUUUCAUUUUUUCAUUUGGUUUUCCAUCAGCUGCCCUAAUUGGGUGAUUUCCAUUAUUCUCUCCUCUAAGUCGCUAAUUUGUUCCUUUGCAUUAUUCAUUUUGCUCUUUAGUGCCUUUAGCUCAGUUUGUGUCUCUGAAAAUGAAUUUUCUAAUUUUUCUACAUUCCUCCUUAUAUUUUCUAGUUCCUUUCUAAAGGAAUCUGCACUACUGGUCAUAUCUUCUCUUAAUUCCUUGAUAUUCAGCUGAAUUCUUUCAGUAUUUUCACUACCUCCCUUUUGAACUCAGUGUCAGAAUGCAGAGGUCUCUUUCACUGUUUGCUGCUUCAGGUGAAUUCUUCUAUUCUUUUAAUUGGGAAAGGUUUCUUAACGUCUUCAUCUUCCUUAAGUUUUUCUUUUUCUGUGAGUUUAGGGAAGCCAAACUAUAGUCUUCGAGGGCUACUUCUAUGUAAGGCUACCCCUUUGUAUUUUGGGGGGAUUUACUAUUUAUUUUUGGCACUGACAUUUGAAUAUUUGCUGUCUCUUUCUUUGGUGUGAGCAGGCUGUUAUCCCCAGGGUACUGAAUGUGUUUCCAGGGAGAAAGAGGCACGGUAGGGCCAGUAGUCAGUGCCUGGUUGCUGGGCUCUUAACAGCAGCAAGGAUCGGCGGGAAGGUGACACUGGCUACUCCUAGUUACAGGAGCCUCAGAAGUGGUAAUGAACCUUGGCAGAUUUACAAGGUGCCCAGAGCAUUUGGCAGUGGCAGCACCAGGGUGUGUGGGUUCCCAGGGGAGUGAGAGCAACAAUAGCUAGUGAUUGAUUACAGUGCCCUCCUCUGAAGUGACUGGAGUCAGAUGUGGUGCCUGUUCAGGGACCCCUAGUGAUACCAAGCCACUCCUACCUCUAGAGUCAGUGAUAACUGUGGUGGUUUUCCCAUGCCAUCCCUGCAGACCACAUAAGAAGCACUCCUUCUCACUUAGCCCACACAGGAGGUACUGAACAGGCUGCUCCUAGUUGCAGGAUCCUGGGAAGUGACAGAGAUCAAGUGUGUGGGCUCUGCCCAGAUUGUUCAGCAAUGGUAGCAACAGGGCCAGUAUGCUCCCAGGGAUGUGAGAGCAACAACAGAUGGUGUUUUGUCACAAUGUCCUCCUCUGAGGUAGUUGUAGGAUCUUAGAAAGGGACAGUGAUCAAGCAUCUGGGCACUGACCAGAGUGUAUGGCAGUGGCAGCUGCAGGGCAGUUGUAUUCCCAGGGGAUGAGAGCAAUAACAUGUGGAGCUUGGUUGCAGUGCCCCUUUUUUUAAAUUUUUUUGUUGAUCCCUGCAGGUGGAGCCCACUCACAGGCCCCCAAGGGUGGCAGGCCAUGCCUCCCUCUGGCCUCAAAGAUGACUGUGGAGGUCUGUCCCUGCUGCCUGUAGAUCAUCCAAGAGGCACCACAUUGCACUUAGCACCUCUACUGCCCUUAGCCCAAACAAGAGUUUACUGGCCACCUGUAGCCUCCCCAAGAAGAGACUGGUCUCCUGUAGGCUGAACAAGUGGCUUCUCACCACCUCACAUGUGCAGGGAGAUUUCUAUGGCGGUCCACCCCUCCUCUUGCCUUGCUUCUCCUGCCAGCCCAGGCCUUCUCCUUGGUUCCCUCUGCCAUGGCAUUCUACUUCCCAGCCCAUAGCACACCACUCUCCUGUCCAUGGCACGUCACUCCUUAGCCCCUUAGGCUGUUCCCACACAGCCAAUCCUAGUCCUCUCCCCAGGACUGACCUUGUGAGCCUAAGUAUCAGCACCCAGCCCCCACCCAAGCAUCCCAGGCUGUGGUGUCUGGGGCAGUGGUGCAGAUAUCUGUGUGGUUCUCACUCUACUUUGUCUUCAUUCCAGCUGCUGUGCUUUUCUUGGCAACUUUGAGUUCCCUCCAUCUUGGCUGAUCUCCCUGGGAGAGGGUGUGGGUUCCUUUUUUCCUUCACAGCUCCCUCUCAGGAGUACUAGUCCCAUCCUGAUUCCUUUUCUCUUUCUCUCUCUCUUUCUUUUGUUCUACCCAGUCAUGUCAAGAGUUUCUUGCCUUUUUUGGAGGUUUAAAUUCUUCUGCCAGCAUUCAGUAGAUGUUCUGUGAGAGUCGUUUUACAUGUACAUGCAUUUUUUUGAUGUGUUUGUGGGAGAAGGUGAGCGCAACAUCUUACCCCUCCACCAUCUUGAUCCAUGCCCCCACAAUAUAAUUUUCAUCUUUUCUAGAUAUAUGCACAGGAGUUAGAUGGCUCCAUCAAAUGGUAACUUUAUUUUUAGUUUAUUAAGUUACCUCCAUACUGUUUUCCAUAAUGGCUGCACCAAGUUACAUUCCCAUCAAGAGUGUAAGAGGGUUCCCUUUUCUCCACAUCUUCUUCAGCAUUUGUUAUUUGUAUUUUUUUAUGAUGGCCAUUCUUACUGACAUGAGGUGAUACCUCAUUGUUAUUUUGUUUUGCAUUUCUAUAAUAAUUAGUGAUAUUGAGCUUAUUUUCAUCUUUCUUUUGGUCAUCUGUCCAUCUUCUUUGGAGAAAUGUUUAUUUAGAUCCUCUGCCCACUUUUUAUUUUUUUAUUUUUUGAUAUUGAGCUAUAUUAGCUCUUUCGAUAUUUUAAAAAUUAAGCCCUUGUCAGUUACAUCAUUUAUAAAUAUUGUUUCCCAGUCUGUUUAUAGUUUCCUUUGCUGUGCAAAAGCUUUUCAGUUUAUUUUAUCACAUUUGUUUAUUUUUACUUCAGUUACAUUCUUCUUCUUUUUAUUGUUACUAUUCUAGGAGAAGGAUCUCAAAUUAUAUUGCUACAAUUUCUAUCAAAGAGUGUUCUUCCAAUGCUUUUCUCUAGAAGUUUUAUAGUAUCCAGUCUUACAUUUAUGUCUUUAAUCCAUUUUGCAUUUAUUUUUGUAUAUUGUGUUAGAGAAUGUUUUAAUUUCAUUUUUUUUUACAUAUCUUGUCUGGUUUUCCCAGCCCCACUUAUUGAAGAGACUGUCUUUUUUCCAUUGUAUAUUCUUGCCUCCAUUGUCAUAGAUGUAGAUUAGUUGACCAGAGGUGCAUGGGCUUAUUCCUGUUCCAUUGACCUAUGUGUCUGUUUUUAUGCUAAUCCAUAGUAUUUUGAUUACUAUGGAUUUGUAGUACAGUCUGAAGUCAGGGAGUAUGAUUCUUCCAGCUCCAUUCUUCCUUCUCAAGAUUGUUUUGGCUAUUUGGGGUCUUUUGUGUUUCCAUACUAAUAUAAAUUUUUGUAUUCUAAUUCUGUGAAAAAAAAUGCCUUGGUAAAUUGAUAGGGAUUGAAUAGAAUGUAUAGAUUGCUUUGGGUAGUAAGGUCAGUUUAACAAUAUUGAUUCUUCCAUUUCAAUAACAUGCUAUAUCUUUCUGUCAAUUUGGGUGGUUUACAAAUUCUUUCUUCAGCAUAUUAGGGAUUUAUGAGUAUAGGUCUGUUUUCUCCUUAGGUGGGUUUAUUCAUAAAUACUUUAUUCUUUUUGCUGCAAUGGUAAGUGGAAUUAUUUCCUUAAUUUCUCUUUCCGAUAUUUUAUUAUUAGUGUAUAGAAAUGCAGCAUAUUUCUGUAUAUUAAUUUGUGUCUGGCAACUUUAUAAAAUUCAUUUAUAAGCUCCAGUAGUUUUCUGAUGGCAUCUUUAGGAUUGUCUAUAUCUAGUAUCAUGUCAUCUGUAAACAGUGACAGUUUAACUUCUUCCUUUUUAAUUUAAAUUCCUUUUUGUUUACUUUUCUUCUCAUAUUGCUCUGGCUAGGAUGUCCAAAACUAAAUUUAAUAAGGCUAGACCCUACCCUGGGAUGAGUUGGGCCCUGGUCCUACCCACUAGCAGGCCAGUGCAGGCUUUGGGACACCUCAGAAACCACAUUCAAUGUUUUCAGCAACUUCCUAUCCCCUCCCCACCCCCCAUACAUCAGUGAUCUGAAAGGAGCGCUGGGAUCCAGCCAGACUCCAGGAAACAUCUCCACCUGCUGGUAGUGUGGUACAGGAUCUAGCUUCACCUGCCAGUGAGUGGCAAUAGGCUCAGCGUUUUUGGGACCCUGACUCUGCACACCAGUGAGCCAGCACUAGUCCCUGGGUCCCCUAGGAUCCUGCAUCCAACCACUUCAAUCCACUCUGAUAAACAAUAUCCAGCAUUAUACACACAGACAAGAGCUGAUAGCCAACUAGACUGGAGGCCAACCAAGACUACCAGACCACCCACACAGUCAAUCUGCCACAGCAAAAAGAUCCACAGAACCCUCUUAGAGGGAGCUCCUGGAACCUACAGCUUGGCGAUGAAAAGGAAGUGCACUUCUGGGAUGCACAGGACACCUUCUACAGAGGGCCACUUCUCCAAGGUCGAGAGAUGUAAAUAACCUACCACACACAUAAAAAUACAAAUAGUAACUUAAGAAAAAAAUGAGGCAGCAGAGGAAUAUGUUCAAGACAAAAGAACAGGAUAAAACCAAGAAGAACUGAGUGAAAUGGAGACAGUCAUCCACCUGAGAAAGUGUUCAGAGUAAUGAUUGUGAAGAUGAUCAAGGAACCUAGGAGAAGAAUAAAUACACAGAGCUAGAAAUUAGAAAAUUUUAACAAAGGGUUAGAAAAUAUAACGAGCAACCAAACAUAGAUCAAGAAUACAAUAACUGAAAUGAAAAAUAUAAUAGAAGAAAUCAAUAAUAGACUAAA